UACGUAGGUGCAAGCGUUGUCCGGAAUUAUUGGGCGUAAAGAGCUCGUAGGCGGUUGUCGCGUCUGCUGUGAAAACCCGAGGCUCAACCUCGGGCCUGCAGUGGGUACGGGCAGACUAGAGUGCGGUAGGGAGAUUGGAAUUCCUGGUGUAGCGGUGGAAUGCGCAGAUAUCGAGGAGAACACCAAUGGCGAAGGCGGGUCUCUGGGCCGUAACUGACGCUGAGGAGCGAAAGCAUGGGUAGCGAACAGG
rnacentral:rRNA from 1 species